rnacentral:rRNA from 1 species
AACGAACGCUGGCGGCAGGCCUAACACAUGCAAGUCGAGCGAGGACUUCGGUUCUAGCGGCGGACGGGUGAGUAACGCGUGGGAAUGUGCCCUUCUCUACGGAAUAGCCCUGGGAAACUGGGAUUAAUACCGUAUACGCCCUAUUGGGGAAAGAUUUAUCGGAGAAGGAUCAGCCCGAGUUGGAUUAGGUAGUUGGUGGGGUAAUGGCCUACCAAGCCGACGAUCCAUAGCUGGUUUGAGAGGAUGAUCAGCCACACUGGGACUGAGACACGGCCCAGACUCCUACGGGAGGCAGCAGUGGGGAAUCUUAGACAAUGGGGGCAACCCUGAUCUAGCCAUGCCGCGUGAGUGAUGAAGGCCUUAGGGUUGUAAAGCUCGUUCAGCUGGGAAGAUAAUGACGGUACCAGCAGAAGAAGCCCCGGCUAACUCCGUG